rnacentral:rRNA from 1 species
GACGAACGCUGGCGGCGUGCCUAAUACAUGCAAGUCGAACGCGCUCUCGUUUAGAUUGAAGGAGCUUGCUCCUGAUUGAUAAACAUUUGAGUGAGUGGCGGACGGGUGAGUAACACGUGGGUAACCUGCCCUAAAGUGGGGGAUAACAUUUGGAAACAGAUGCUAAUACCGCAUAAAACCUAACACCGCAUGGUGUAGGGUUGAAAGAUGGUUUCGGCUAUCACUUUAGGAUGGACCCGCGGUGCAUUAGUUAGUUGGUGAGGUAAAGGCUCACCAAGACCGUGAUGCAUAGCCGACCUGAGAGGGUAAUCGGCCACACUGGGACUGAGACACGGCCCAGACUCCUACGGGAGGCAGCAGUAGGGAAUCUUCCACAAUGGACGAAAGUCUGAUGGAGCAACGCCGCGUGAGUGAAGAAGGUUUCGGAUCGUAAAACUCUGUUGUUGGAGAAGAAUGUAUCUGAUAGUAACUGAUCAGGUAGUGACGGUAUCC